AAUUAUCACUUCAUACUGAAACAAGGGUUUGAUCUUUUCAUGAGAUGUAUGGUGAUGAAAUUAAGGCCAGGGGCUCUGGGGACAGAAGAGAAGGCUGGCGCCACUCGUAUGCCCUGGAGAAACAGUGAGAUGAAGAGCACAGCCUCUAGAGCCAGAGUGUCUGGAUCUAAAAUUGGCUCUGCCAACAAGCAUAAUUGAAAAUUAAGAAUGCCAUGUAAAGCAAGGUGAAAAAGGCAGGGGUGUACACAUCAAUCCCAGAUCCAGGGAGCCAACAUCUUUAAGUAGACUUCUUCAGAUGGCCUGUGGGGUACCACAGAGCUUACAGAACAACUUAAGAUCACUCCAAACCAGGUAACUUCACAAGUUGUUAGAAACCAUCCUUCAAAGAUCUGCCUCUUUCCUUCUGCGUGGCAGCUGGAGACUCCUG
rnacentral:lncRNA from 1 species